UACGUAGGGUGCAAGCGUUGUCCGGAAUUAUUGGGCGUAAAGAGCUCGUAGGCGGUCUGUCGCGUCGGCUGUGAAAACCCGGGGCUCAACCCCGGGCCUGCAUUCGAUACGGGCAGACUAGAGUUCGGUAGGGGAGUCUGGAAUUCCUGGUGUAGCGGUGAAAUGCGCAGAUAUCAGGAGGAACACCGGUGGCGAAGGCGGGACUCUGGGCCGAUACUGACGCUGAGGAGCGAAAGCGUGGGGAGCAAACAGG
rnacentral:rRNA from 1 species